AUUGAACGCUGGCGGCAGGCCUAACACAUGCAAGUCGAACGAGUGGCGGACGGGUGAGUAAUGUCUGGGAAACUGCCUGAUGGAGGGGGAUAACUACUGGAAACGGUAGCUAAUACCGCAUACCAUCAGAUGUGCCCAGAUGGGAUUGGCUAGUUGGUGGGGUAACGGCUCACCAAGGCGACGAUCCCUAGCUGGGCUGCGAGGAUGACCAGCCACACUGGAACUGGGACACGGUCCGAACUCCUACGGGGGGCAGCGGUGGGGAAUAUUGGACAAUGGGCGCAAGCCUGAUGCGGCCCUGCCGCGUGUAUGAAGAGGGCCUUCGGGUUGUAAAGUACUUUCAGCGGGGAGGCGUUACCCGCAGAAGAAGCACCGGCUAACUCCGUGCCGGCAGCCGCGGUAAUUC
rnacentral:rRNA from 1 species